rnacentral:tRNA from 1 species
UGGGGCGUCGUCAAGCGGUUAAGACACGGGCCUUUGGAGCCUGCAUCCCAGGUUCGAAUCCUGGCGCCCCAGCCA